GACGAACGCUGGCGGCGCGCCUAACACAUGCAAGUCGAACGGAGCUUAAAGAGCUUGCUUUUUAAGCUUAGUGGCGAACGGGUGAGUAACGCGUGAGUAACCUGCCCUAGAGUGGGGGACAACAGUUGGAAACGACUGCUAAUACCGCAUAAGCCCACGGUACCGCAUGGUACUGAGGGAAAAGGAUUUAUUCGCUUUAGGAUGGACUCGCGUCCAAUUAGCUAGUUGGUGAGGUAACGGCCCACCAAGGCGACGAUUGGUAGCCGGACUGAGAGGUUGAACGGCCACAUUGGGACUGAGACACGGCCCAGACUCCUACGGGAGGCAGCAGUGGGGGAUAUUGCACAAUGGGGGAAACCCUGAUGCAGCGACGCCGCGUGGAGGAAGAAGGUUUUCGGAUUGUAAACUCCUGUCGUUAGGGACGAUAAUGACGGUAC
rnacentral:rRNA from 1 species